rnacentral:lncRNA from 1 species
UUUAUUCAGUCCUGUUUCUUCUUUCUCCAUAUAUCUCCCUUGUUUAUAUCUCCCUUGUUUAUAUCUCUCCCUUGUUUAUAUCUCUCCCUUGUUUUUAUAUCUCCCUUGUUUUUAUAUCUCCCUUGUUUUUAUAUCUCCCCCGAACCCUGGGCCUCUCACUCUUUUAUACUCUCAGUUCCCAUCCACGCACAGCAGGCCACGCCACCUCACCAGGCACGCAGCUUCAGCUAAUCAGGGCAGCAGGGGCAAAUCUCCACCAAAUUGGAUUCACCUGUAUCCUGGUACACCUGCGCAGCACUCAAGAUGUUUGUGUCUUAUAUGAGGAAGUCAGGUGCAAGUCAUAUGACUUAGCUGCAGUCCCUGGCGCCUUUGGGACUGCC